GACGAACGCUGGCGGCGUGCUUAACACAUGCAAGUCGAACGGAAAGGCCCUGCUUUUGUGGGGUGCUCGAGUGGCGAACGGGUGAGUAACACGUGAGUAACCUGCCCUUGACUUUGGGAUAACUUCAGGAAACUGGGGCUAAUACCGGAUAGGAGCUCCUGCUGCAUGUUGGGGGUUGGAAAGUUUCGGCGGUUGGGGAUGGAAUCGCGGCUUAUCAGCUUGUUGGUGGGGUAGGGGCUUACCAAGGCUUUGACGGGUAGCCGGCCUGAGAGGGUGACCGGCCACAUUGGGACUGAGAUACGGCCCAGACUCCUACGGGAGGCAGCAGUGGGGAAUAUUGCACAAUGGGCGGAAGCCUGAUGCAGCAACGCCGCGUGCGGGAUGACGGCCUUCGGGUUGUAAACCGCUUUCGCCUGUGACGAAGCGUGAGUGACGGUAAUGGGUAAAGAAGCACCGGCUAACUACGUG
rnacentral:rRNA from 1 species